rnacentral:rRNA from 1 species
GAACGGAGAAUUGCUAGCUUGCUAAUAAUUCUCUAGUGGCGCACGGGUGAGUAACACGUGAGUACCUGCCCCCAAGAGUGGGAUAGCCCCGGGAAACUGGGAUUAAUACCGCAUAAAGCAAUAAAGCAGCAAUGCGCUUGGGGAUGGGCUCGCGUCCUAUUAGUUAGUUGGUGAGGUAACGGCUCACCAAGGCGAUGACGGGUAGCCGGUCUGAGAGGAUGUCCGGCCACACUGGAACUGAGACACGGUCCAGACACCUACGGGUGGCAGCAGUCGAGAAUCAUUCACAAUGGGGGAAACCCUGAUGGUGCGACGCCGCGUGGGGGAUAAGGUCUUCGGAUUGUAAACCCCUGUCAUGUGGGACAUUAAAAGAUAGUACCACAAGAGGAAGAGACGGCUAACUCUGUGCCAGCAGCCGCGGUAAUACAGAGGUCUCAAGCGUUGUUCGGAAUCACUGGGCGUAAAGCGUGCGUAGGCGGUUUCGUAAGUCGUGUGUGAAAGGCGGGGGCUCAACCCCCGGACUGCACAUGAUACUGCGAGACUAGAGUAAUGGAGGGGGAACCGGAAUUCUCGGUGUAGCAGUGAAAUGCGUAGAUAUCGAGAGGAACACUCGUGGCGAAGGCGGGUUCCUGGACAUUAACUGACGCUGAGGCACGAAGGCCAGGGGAGCGAAAGGGAUUAGAUACCCCUGUAGU